GACGAACGCUGGCGGCGUGCCUAAUACAUGCAAGUCGAACGAGAGCGACCGGUGCUUGCACUGGUCAAUCUAGUGGCGAACGGGUGAGUAACACGUGGGUAACCUGCCCAUCAGAGGGGGAUAACAUCCGGAAACGGAUGCUAAAACCGCAUAGGUCUUCGAGCCGCAUGGCUUGAAGAGGAAAAGAGGCGCAAGCUUCUGCUGAUGGAUGGACCCGCGGUGCAUUAGCUAGUUGGUGAGGUAACGGCUCACCAAGGCCGUGAUGCAUAGCCGACCUGAGAGGGUGAUCGGCCACAUUGGGACUGAGACACGGCCCAAACUCCUACGGGAGGCAGCAGUAGGGAAUCUACCGCAAUGGACGCAAGUCUGACGGAGCAACGCAGCGUGAGUGAAGAAGGUUUUCGGAUCGUAAAACUCUGUUGUUAGAGAAGAACAAGUGCUAGAGUAACUGUUAGCGCCUUGACGGUAUCUAACAAGAAAGCCACGGCUAACUACGU
rnacentral:rRNA from 1 species